rfam:marine gamma proteobacterium HTCC2207 scf_1099215844477 genomic scaffold, whole genome shotgun sequence.
GGGGGCGUUUUGGAUUCGACGACGGCUACAAAACCUCCGGUGCAUGCCGAGAUGGUGACCAAUCUCGUUAAUCCAAAGUCGCAAACUUAUAGUUGCCAACGACGACAACUACGCACUAGCUGCUUAAACCCCAGUGUAGUGCCGUCUGACUGGAGACGUGCUUAUGCGUCCAGAGUUUGAAAUCCUUCGGGAGAGAUAACGCUCAGGCGUCAUAUCUCAUAAGAUCGUGAUGAAGCUUGUUCGGGGCGGAUUCACUAAAAACUUACCGAAAUCGUGCGCUGUGCGCCCUGUCAGUCGGGUUACAGCGUACUAAAAUUAAAGACUGAACUAAGCAUGUAGAGCCGUAGGCAGCGGGCUGGCGGACGCGGGUUCAAUUCCCGCCGCCUCCACCA